CCCUGCCAGGGGUGGGGGUGGGGUGGGGGGGAGGGCGCGGCGGGGGUGGUCCUGAUGUCUCAGCGCCCCCACCUGGCUCACCUCCAUCACCUCCUUCUGAUUCCGCCUCACCUCAGCCACCGGCCAGCCUCCUUCCCCAAUUCGGGGACACCCGGAGAGGUGGGCGAGGUGGAGUCCGAGCUCCCUGUCCCAGAGGAGGGGGCUCUGUCCUCCCAUCCCUCCACCUAGUGUCCCACUAUCAUGGAUGCCAGGCCCCGGGGGGGGGGGUAGAGUGUGCUUGGGGCUCCGGCGGCUGUGGGAGGGGAAAAGGGCACCGGGGGAGGCUUGUUUGUGGGGGUUGACUCACCCUCCUUCUCACUUCUCUGUGGCAUUUGACCUGCUGCCCACCCUUCCACCUCUAGAUGGCCUCCUUCCUCCUCCUCUCCUCCUCCCUCAUGGUCACGCAUCCUAGCCUGUCCCGGCUGUGACCUCUGUCCUCUGUGCCCCACUGGCUGGCCGUGACCCUGCUCCUCGGCCCCCACAGCUUUCCCUUCUCAUUUCCCCCCUCAGUUUUUUUUUUUUUUUUUUUAAAUCAGGUGAGACUUUCCUUAGGCCCCUGGGAGGAGACUCAGACACAGGCUCUCCCCCAACAGACCCCUCCUCCAGGAAGCCUGCCUGGAAUGUUUUCUCUUUUCAGCCCGACUGAGCUCAUCCAGCGCCUCGGACACUUAAACAUACUGGCUGUCUCAGGUGCGCUCUGUUCACUAUACCCCUGCCAUGGAGGAGUCUGGCAAACAGCCUGGCCAAGUCUGAGAGUCGAUCUCCAAACAGGGCAGUUCAGCACAUGAGGGAGGGAGCCAGGUUUUCAACAAGAUGCAGACUUAGAAGUUGAAAUUACCCGCUUCUGCUUGGACCCCUCCAGCAAUGGGGAGCUCACUCCAAGACACUCUGCGACCCUACGGCUCCCUUCAGCUGGGCUAAUGAUUACCCCUUGUUUUUCUGUUUGUUUUUACCUUUUGGGGGCUUCAGUUGACGGCC